rnacentral:rRNA from 1 species
UGAGGAAUAUUGGUCAAUGGGCGAGAGCCUGAACCAGCCAAGUAGCGUGCAGGAUGACGGCCCUAUGGGUUGUAAACUGCUUUUAUGUGGGGAUAAAGUGCGUGACGUGUCAUGCAUUGCAGGUACCACAUGAAUAAGGACCGGCUAAUUCCGUGCCAGCAGCCGCGGUAAUACGGAAGGUCCGGGCGUUAUCCGGAUUUAUUGGGUUUAAAGGGAGCGUAGGCUGUCUAUUAAGCGUGUUGUGAAAUAUACCGGCUCAACCGGUGGCUUGCAGCGCGAACUGGUCGACUUGAGUAUGCGCAACGUUGGCGGAAUUCGUCGUGUAGCGGUGAAAUGCUUAGAUAUGACGAGGAACUCCGAUUGCGAAGGCAGCUGACGGGAGCGGCACUGACGCUUAAGCUCGAAGGUGCGGGUAUCAAACAGG